rnacentral:rRNA from 1 species
GAUGAACGCUAGCGGGAGGCCUAACACAUGCAAGCCGAGCGGUAGAGAUUCUUCGGAAUCUUGAGAGCGGCGUACGGGUGCGGAACACGUGUGCAACCUACCUUUAUCUGGAGGAUAGCCUUUCGAAAGGAAGAUUAAUACUCCAUAAUAUAUUGAUUGGCAUCAAUUGAUAUUGAAAGCUCCGGCGGAUAGAGAUGGGCACGCGCAAGAUUAGUUAGUUGGUGAGGUAACGGCUCACCAAGACGAUGAUCUUUAGGGGCCUGAGAGGGUGAUCCCCCACACUGGUACUGAGACACGGACCAGACUCCUACGGGAGGCAGCAGUGAGGAAUAUUGGUCAAUGGGUGCAAGCCUGAACCAGCCAUCCCGCGUGAAGGACGACUGCCCUAUGGGUUGUGAACUUCUUUUGUAUAGGGAUAAACCUACCCUCGUGAGGGUAGCUGAAGGUACUAUACGAAUAAGCACCGGCUAACUCCGUGCCAGCAGCCGCGU